rnacentral:rRNA from 1 species
GGGGCCUCUGUUUACAAGCUCCUGCUUCUGGAUGAGCCCGCGUCCCAUCAGCUAGUUGGUAGGGUAAUGGCCUACCAAGGCUACGACGGGUAGCUGGUCUAAGAGGAUGGCCAGCCACACUGGAACUGAGACACGGUCCAGACUCCUACGGGAGGCAGCAGUGGGGAAUCUUGCGCAAUGGGCGAAAGCCUGACGCAGCGACGCCGCGUGGGUGACGAAGGCCUUCGGGUUGUAAAGCCCUGUGGGGUAGAACGAACUGGCAUCGGGCUAAUAUCCCGGUGUCUUGACGGUACUGCCUUAGCAAGCAUCGGCUAACUCUGUGCCAGCAGCCGCGGUAAGACAGAGGAUGCGAACGUUGCUCGGAUUUACUGGGCGUAAAGCGCGUGUAGGCGGUCUCGUUAGUCGGGUGUGAAAGCCCCGGGCUCAACCCGGGAAGUGCACCCGAUACUGCGAGACUGGGGUACUGAAGAGGAGAGCGGAAUUCCCGGUGUAGAGGUGAAAUUCGUAGAUAUCGGGAG